rnacentral:lncRNA from 1 species
UGUGGUUCACCUAACCAAUGAGAUCGAGGUAAACGGUAGGCGGGUGGCCUUAUCGACGAGUUUAAGCUUGAAUUCACGAAUAGGAGUUCGUAUGAAUUCAUUGCAAGAGCGAAUGGAUGUUAGUCGUGGCUGUAGUAUCAAAGGAUAAAGAGAAAGUAAAGUGGUCUCUGGGAGACACUUGAGUGAUGAAUAGCCACGUGAGGAUUGGAGC